UGGAGCUGCCAGGAGCCUCCCCUCCGGCUGCGGAGGCGUUGUGAGGGCAGCGCCCUGUGCAGCGCGGCCCCGGGGCUCUGAGGGCGCAGCGUCGGGGACGGCGCUCGAGUGGCCGCUUGGCACCGGCCAGCGCGGCUUGCAGAGGGAGAAAAGAGCGGGAUCAAAACUUUCCUCCACCAAGAAGAGAAACAGGAAUGCAAAACGUUGGAAUAACUAAAUGUUUCUGUGCAGGUCACAUCUGUGUUUAUGAAUGGUUUUGGAUCCUUGUGAGCUGAGAGGUAAUUCUGUGGGGUUCAAGAAUGAUGCAGUAGAUGGCAGAGUGGCCCUGCAGUCCUUUUUCUGCACAGAAGACUGGAGACUCACAGAGGGAAAAACAGUACCUCAUUUAAUGUACAAAAACUCUUCCUGACCUACAGCAUUACAUCAGGCAUGCUGGUGAAAUGAACGUGCCCAGAACUUCUGCAUUCUCUGUCCCCCAACCAGCAAGUGACUGACCUUCCUUGAGACUUUUCUGGCUGGUCACCUCAAGGCAU